rnacentral:rRNA from 1 species
AACGAACGCUGGCGGCAGGCCUAACACAUGCAAGUCGAACGAGUAAGAGCCGUAGCAAUACGGAGUUCUGCUAGUGGCGCACGGGUGAGUAACGCGUGGGAACGUGCCUUGGAGUUCGGGAUAACAGUUGGAAACGACUGCUAAUACCGAAUAUUCCCUCAGGGGGAAAGAUUUAUCGCUCCAAGAUCGGCCCGCGUAAGAUUAGGUAGUUGGUGGGGUAAUGGCCUACCAAGCCUACGAUCUUUAGCUGGUCUGAGAGGACGACCAGCCACACUGGAACUGAGACACGGUCCAGACUCCUACGGGAGGCAGCAGUGGGAAUAUUGGACAAUGGGCGAAAGCCUGAUCCAGCCAUGCCGCGUGAAUGAUGAGGCCUUAGGGUUGUAAAUUCUUUUGCUAGGGGAAGAUAAUGACGGUACCCU